AUUGAACGCUGGCGGCAUGCCUUACACAUGCAAGUCGAACGGCAGCACGGGAGCAAUCCUGGUGGCGAGUGGCGAACGGGUGAGUAAUAUAUCGGAACGUGCCCAGUCGUGGGGGAUAACGCAGCGAAAGCUGUGCUAAUACCGCAUACGAUCUAAGGAUGAAAGCGGGGGAUCGCAAGACAUCGCGCGAUUGGAGCGGCCGAUAUCAGAUUAGCUAGUUGGUGGGGUAAAGGCCCACCAAGGCGACGAUCUGUAGCUGGUCUGAGAGGACGACCAGCCACACUGGAACUGAGACACGGUCCAGACUCCUACGGGAGGCAGCAGUGGGGAAUUUUGGACAAUGGGCGCAAGCCUGAUCCAGCAAUGCCGCGUGCAGGAUGAAGGCCUUCGGGUUGUAAACUGCUUUUGUACGGAACGAAACGGCCCUUUCUAAUACAGGGGGCUAAUGACGGUACCGUAAGAAUAAGCACCGGCUAACUACGUGCCAGCCGCCGCGGUAAUAC
rnacentral:rRNA from 1 species